UACGGAGGAUCCGAGCGUUAUCCGGAAUUAUUGGGUUUAAAGGGUUCGUAGGCGGUUUAGUAAGUCAGUGGUGAAAUCUUGCAGCUUAACUGUAAAAUUGCCGUUGAUACUGCUAAACUUGAAUAGUAUGGAAGUAAUUAGAAUAUGUAGUGUAGCGGUGAAAUGCUUAGAUAUUACAUGGAAUACCGAUUGCGAAGGCAGGUUACUACGUACUUAUUGACGCUGAUGAACGAAAGCGUGGGUAGCGAAC
rnacentral:rRNA from 1 species